rnacentral:rRNA from 1 species
CAAUAGCGUAUAUUAAAGUUGUUGCGGUUAAAAAGCUCGUAGUUGGAUUUCUGUCGGUGAGUGGCGCUCCGCCCAUGUGGUGUGUAGUCGUCAUGCCCCGCGAUCUUCCUGGGGACUGUAUCUGCACUUCACUGUGUGGUGCAUAAACCAGGACUUUUACUUUGAGGAAAUGAGAGUGUUUCAAGCAGGCAUGCGCCGUGAAUACGUUAGCAUGGAAUAAUAGCAUCGGACCUCGCUCCAUAGCUGUUGGUUUCUUGGGUCGAGGUAAAGAUGAAUAGGGAUAGUUGGGGGCAUUAGUAUUUAAUUGUCAGAGGUGAAAUUCUUGGAUUUAUGAAAGACUAACUUCUGCGAAAGCAUUUGCCAAGGAUGUUUUCAUUAAUCAAGAACGAAAGUUAGGGGAUCGAAGACGAUCAGAUACCA